rnacentral:tRNA from 1 species
GGGUAUAGCUCAAUAGUAGAGUAUGCGAUUAGCAUGUGCAAAGUCCUGGGUUUAAUCCCCGGUACUUCCA